GAAAGUGAUGUUCUUGUCUAAGUAAUUAUGUAACGCCUGUUGACAUAUUUAGAAUAAAUAAUUUGUAUGAGCCCUGUACAUAUUUCAUUUCGCUGGUUUGAAAUCAUAAGAAUCCCGAUCAGGUUCGGAAAUUAUAAAUAAGUGGGUAGGUAUCUAUAUCUCUAUAAUAAAAGUUUAUACAACAUUGGUAUGCGAGUUUUCCACCAAAAAUGAUUACAUGAAUGUAAUGUGUUAAUAACAAUUCACUGUAUGGAAUGUAAAUGAAAGCGAUUGGUGUAAACAAUUUAAUGAGUAUUGCUUACUACUGUUGAGAAUGGACACUUACGUCAAGGUUCACUCAAAUCACCUAUAAAUGGGAAACGAAGGGUAAAAGUUCAAACUACCUUAAACUGCAGUUUAAGUUAAGGUUCGUGCGGGUACCGUAUUGGACAUCUUGAGACAAAAUAUGCGUUGGCUACAUCUAAUUGUUACAAUUGUCAUUGCGAGUGCACUCCUCCUUGUAGCUGAGACACGAAGCGUUGGAGGAAUCUCUGAAAAUGAAGACAUUCAAAUUGUAGACAAUCCACCAUUAAGACGUUACAGGAGAAGCCCAAAAAAACAUAAACAUGGUCACGGACAUCACGUAGUCAUUUUGCAUCACCAUCACCACCACGGCCAUGGCCACCAUUAUUAUCAUCACGGAUAAAUGUUAUCGACUCUUUUAAUUAAAUAUAUACAUUGAAAAUUUCUUAUAAAUAAAUAUCAGUAAUCUCCA